UGCUGGGUGCUGGAGGUGAAGAGCAUCACACCUUUCUUGCUGAGGACAGGAACAAGGUGGCCACUCAGGAUGGAACACUCUCCCAGAUCUCCUUUUGGCAGCUGGAUGGGAAGGGAAUUCCACUGCAAAGGAAGGAUGACUGAGAAGAGGUUCAAGUUGCAUCCAGAGGAAAAGCAAGUGCUGUGCUUUACACAUCCCACCACCACCACAGAGAGCUGUGUUUGGGGAAGUCAAGAACUGGACAGAUCCUUUUUCCUUCCACUCAUUUUCAGGGUG